CCACAGCUCGCCGGAGACUCGGAGAAGACAGACGGAGAACACGCCGUCACCGGAGAAAGCCGACAUCACUGGAAGUUCACGCCGGACUUUUACGACGGAACUCGACACGUAACUGUUUCGGUAUAAAUCUUUCACGUUUACAUCUCAUUUCAUCAAUUUAUAACAUGGUUGAUUUGUUCAAGAUUCAAGAAACAAGCUAGGAUGGCUUUAGAUAC
rnacentral:lncRNA from 1 species